GGUUAAUCAGAGAAGGUAAUAAUCCUGUAGUCGAAAACGAAUUCUCUCUUGAGUGGAUCCUGAGUACGACGGAGCACGUGAAAUUCCGUCGGAAUCUGGGAGGACCAUCUCCUAAGGCUAAAUACUCUCUAGUGACCGAUAGUGAACCAGUACCGUGAGGGAAAGGUGAAAAGUACCCCGGAAGGGGAGUGAAAGAGAACUUGAAACCGUGUGCUUACAAGUAGUCAGAGCCCGUUAAUGGGUGAUGGCGUGCCUUUUGUAGAAUGAACCGGCGAGUUACGAUCUGAUGCAAGGUUAAGCAGAAAAUGUGGAGCCGUAGCGAAAGCGAGUCUGAAUAGGGCGAAUGAGUAUUUGGUCGUAGACCCGAAACCAGGUGAUCUACCCUUGGUCAGGUUGAAGUUCAGGUAACACUGAAUGGAGGACCGAACCGACUUACGUUGAAAAGUGAGCGGAUGAACUGAGGGUAGCGGAGAAAUUCCAAUCGAACUUGGAGAUAGCUGGUUCUCUCCGAAAUAGCUUUAGGGCUAGCCUCAAGUGAUGAUUAUUGGAGGUAGAGCACUGUUUGGACGAGGGGCCCCUCUCGGGUUACCGAAUUCAGACAAACUCCGAAUGCCAAAUAAUUUAACUUGGGAGUCAGAAUGUGGGUGAUAAGGUCCAUAUUCGAAAGGGAAACAGCCCAGACCACCAGCUAAGGUCCCAAAAUAUAUGUUAAGUGGAAAAGGAUGUGGCGUUGCCCAGACAACUAGGAUGUUGGCUUAGAAGCAGCCAUCAUUUAAAGAGUGCGUAAUAGCUCACUAGUCGAGUGACACUGCGCCGAAAAUGUACCGGGGCUAAACAUAUUACCGAAGCUGUGGAUUGUCCUUUGGACAAUGGUAGGAGAGCGUUCUAAGGGCGUUGAAGCAUGAUCGCAAGGACAUGUGGAGCGCUUAGAAGUGAGAAUGCCGGUGUGAGUAGCGAAAGACGGGUGAGAAUCCCGUCCACCGAUUGACUAAGGUUUCCAGAGGAAGGCUCGUCCGCUCUGGGUUAGUCGGGUCCUAAGCUGAGGCCGACAGGCGUAGGCGAUGGAUAACAGG
rnacentral:rRNA from 1 species